GACGAACGCUGGCGGCGUGCCUAAUACAUGCAAGUCGACCUUAGUGGCGAACGGGUGAGUAACACGUGGGUAACCUGCCCAUCAGAAGGGGAUAACACUUGGAAACAGGUGCUAAUACCGUAUACUGAUGGAUGGACCCGCGGUGCAUUAGCUAGUUGGUGAGGUAACGGCUCACCAAGGCCACGAUGCAUAGCCGACCUGAGAGGGUGAUCGGCCACAUUGGGACUGAGACACGGCCCAAACUCCUACGGGAGGCAGCAGUGGGGAAUAUUGCACAAUGGGCGCAAGCCUGAUGCAGCCAUGCCGCGUGUAUGAAGAAGGCCUUCGGGUUGUAAAGUACUUUCAGCGGGGAGGCGUUACCCGCAGAAGAAGCACCGGCUAACUCCGUGCCAGCAGCCGCGGUAAUUC
rnacentral:rRNA from 1 species